CAGCAGCCACGGGAAUACAGAGGGUGCGAGCGUUAAUCGGAUUUACUGGGCGUAAAGCGUGCGUAGGCGGCUUCUUAAGUCGGAUGUGAAAUCCCUGAGCUUAACUUAGGAAUUGCAUUCGAUACUGGGAAGCUAGAGUAUGGGAGAGGAUGGUAGAAUUCCAGGUGUAGCGGUGAAAUGCGUAGAGAUCUGGAGGAAUACCGAUGGCGGAGGCAGCCAUCUGGCCUAAUACUGACGCUGAGGUACGAAAGCAUGGGGAGCAAACAGGAUUAGAUACCCGCGUAGUCCCUGUCUCUUAUAC
rnacentral:rRNA from 1 species